GAUGAACGCUGGCGGCGUGCCUAAUACAUGCAAGUCGAGCGAACAGAUAAGGAGCUUGCUCCUUUGACGUUAGCGGCGGACGGGUGAGUAACACGUGGGUAACCUACCUAUAAGACUGGGAUAACUUCGGGAAACCGGAGCUAAUACCGGAUAACAUUUGGAACCGCAUGGUUCUAAAGUGAAAGAUGGUUUUGCUAUCACUUAUAGAUGGACCCGCGCCGUAUUAGCUAGUUGGUAAGGUAACGGCUUACCAAGGCGACGAUACGUAGCCGACCUGAGAGGGUGAUCGGCCACACUGGAACUGAGACACGGUCCAGACUCCUACGGGAGGCAGCAGUAGGGAAUCUUCCGCAAUGGGCGAAAGCCUGACGGAGCAACGCCGCGUGAGUGAUGAAGGGUUUCGGCUCGUAAAACUCUGUUAUUAGGGAAGAACAAAUGUGUAAGUAACUGUGCACGUCUUGACGAUACCUAAUCAGAAAGCCACGGCUAACUACGUG
rnacentral:rRNA from 1 species